rnacentral:rRNA from 1 species
UACGUAGGGGGCAAGCGUUGUCCGGAAUCAUUGGGCGUAAAGCGCGUGUAGGCGGCCCGGUAAGUCCGCUGUGAAAGUCGGGGGCUCAACCCUCGAAUGCCGGUGGAUACUGUCGGGCUAGAGUGCGGGAGAGGCGAGUGGAAUUCCUGGUGUAGCGGUGAAAUGCGCAGAUAUCAGGAGGAACACCAAUUGCGAAGGCAGCUCGCUGGAACGUAACUGACGCUGGAGAACGCGAAAGCCGUGGGGAGCAAACAGG